rfam:Hordeum vulgare subsp. vulgare, WGS project CAJW01000000 data, contig: morex_contig_136093
GUUAUACUCCCUUCGUCCGAAAAUACUUGUCCUAGAAAUGAACAUAAUGAAUGUAUAUAUAACUAAAAUAAGUCUAGAUACAUUCAUCUCUAAAACAAGUAUUUCCGGAUGGAGGAAGGACAAGUAUUUCCGGACGGAGGAAGUAUAUG